UAACACAUGCAAGUCGAACGAAGUAGCAAUACUUAUUGGCAGACGGGUGAGUAACAUGUGGGUAUCUGCCCUUUGGCCUGGAAUAACACGAGGAAACUUGUGCUAAUACCGGAUAAGUCUUUACGGAGAAAGCUUUAUGCACCAUUGGAUGAGCCUGCACUUGAUUAGUUUGUUGGUGGGGUAAUGGCCUACCAAGACUUUGAUCAAUAGCUGAUUUGAGAGGAUGAUCAGCCACAUUGGGACUGAGACACGGCCCAAACUCCUACGGGAGGCAGCAGUGGGGAAUCUUGCACAAUGGAGGAAACUCUGAUGCAGCGAUGCCGCGUGAGUGAAGAAGGCCCUUGGGUUGUAAAGCUCUUUCGUCGGGGAAGAAAAUGACUGUACCCGAAUAAGAAGGUCCGGCUAACUUCGUGCCAGCAGCCGCGGUAAUACGAAGGGACCUAGCGUAGUUCGGAAUUACUGGGCUUAAAGAGUUCGUAGGUGGUUGAAAAAGUUAGUGGUGAAAUCCCAGAGCUUUACUCUGGAACUGCCAUUAAAACUUUUCAGCUAGAGUAUGAUAGAGGAAAGCAGAAUUUCUAGUGUAGAGGUGAAAUUCGUAGAUAUUAGAAAGAAUACCAAUUGCGAAGGCAGCUUUCUGGAUCAUUACUGACACUGAGGAACGAAAGCAUGGGUAGCGAAGAGGAUUAGAUACCCUCGUAGUCCAUGCCGUAAACGAUGUGUGUUAGACGUUGGAAAUUUAUUUUCAGUGUCGCAGCGAAAGCGAUAAACACACCGCCUGGGGAGUACGACCGCAAGGUUAAAACUCAAAUGAAUUGACGGGGACCCGCACAAGUAGUGGAGCAUGUGGUUUAAUUCGAAGAUACGCGCAGAACCUUACCAACACUUGACAUGUUCGUCGCGACUCUAAGAGAUUAGAGUUUUCGGUUCGGCCGGACGAAACACAGGUGCUGCAUGGCUGUCGUCAGCUCGUGUCGUGAGAUGUUGGGUUAAGUCCCGCAACGAGCGCAACCCUCACUUUUAGUUGCCAUCAUUAAGUUGGGCACUCUGAAAGAACUGCCAGUGAUAAGCUGGAGGAAGGUGGGGAUGACGUCAAGUCCUCAUGGCCCUUACGUGUUGGGCUACACACGUGCUACAAUGGUAUCUACAACAGGAAGCAAGACUGCGAGGUCAAGCAAAUCCUUAAAAGAUACCUCAGUUCGGAUUGCACUCUGCAACUCGAGUGCAUGAAGCUGGAAUUACUAGUAAUCGUGGAUCAGCGUGCCACGGUGAAUGCGUUCCCGGGUCUUGUACACACCGCCCGUCACACCAUGGGAGUUGGUUCUACCUUAAGGCAAGGUUUCAAACCCUUGACCACGGUAUAGUCAGCGACUGGGGUG
rnacentral:rRNA from 1 species